GGAGAGAUGGGAACAUUACAGACUGGGAUAAGGAGAGGAUGAACAUUACAGACUGGGACAAGGAGAGGUUGAACAUUACAGACUGGGACAAGGAGAGGUUGAACAUUACAGACUGGGACAAGGAGAGGUUGAACAUUACAGACUGGGACAAGGAGAGGUUGAACAUUACAGACUGGGACAAGGAGAGGUUGAACAUUACAGACUGGGACCCUAAUCCUGGGACAAGGAGAGGAUGAACAUUACAGACUGGGACAAGGAGAGGAUGAACAUUACAGACUGGGACAAGGAGAGGAUGAACAUUACAGACUGGGACAGGGAGAGGUUGAACAUUACAGACUGGGACAAGGAGAGGAUGAACAUUACAGACUGGGAUAAGGAGAGGUU
ensembl:lncRNA